CGCGCCUCUAAAAGCAACGCGACACUCUGGUCACGUGGUAUGACCGAGUAGGACGGCCAUCUUCCCUAAAACACAAACAACAAGAGCGUACUAGACAUCAACACGCAACGACCAUUGGAGAGGGAGAGAGAGCAAAAAACUGUAAAAGCGGAACACGAUUCUCGAGGAGGAGCACAGAACACAAACAACUGCACAUGCAUCCAAAGUGAAGAUCGUCGAGUUUGACGGGGCGACUGGACAGUAACAUCGCAUCGACAGCUCCAGAAAUACGAUAAAGGAGGGAGAGGGAUUGUCGGCGUGAGGAGGGGGUCACCAGCUGGGACCUGGUCCAUACAGCAUUGCCAGUACAACAGAAAGAGUUAGAAAGACACACACAAAUAGAGAAAGAGAGAAGCUUAUUGGGGUCAUAACUGAUUCUGGCAGCUGUAUUAUCAACAAGUUCGUCUCUCUUUUUUUUUUUUUUUUUGUCUCUUUGUCUGUUUUGUUUGUUUCCUGUAGUCGAUCGACUUAAGACGUCAGUAUCAAGCUCUGCAGUUUUUGCAGUCCAACAGCCCUCUCACCCAGACCUGGUCCAGCCUAGUCUUGCCUGCGCCACUCCCCCGGACAGGACUUUCACCUCUGAGAAGGAAGGAAGAAUAUGACUGCUGAAACACUUAACUUUGGCCCAGAAUGGUAAAAUCCUUUCCUUUCUAUUUCU
rnacentral:lncRNA from 1 species